UGGGGAAUAUUGCACAAUGGGGGAAACCCUGAUGCAGCGACGCAGCGUGCGGGAUGACGGCCUUCGGGUUGUAAACCGCUUUCAGCAGGGGAAGAAGCCUUAGGGUGACGGUACCUGCAGAAGAAGUACCGGCUAACUACGUGCCAGCAGCCGCGGUAAUACGUAGGGUACGAGCGUUGUCCGGAAUUAUUGGGCGUAAAGAGCUCGUAGGUGGUUGGUCACGUCUGCUGUGGAAACGCAACGCUUAACGUUGCGCGUGCAGUGGGUACGGGCUGACUAGAGUGCAGUAGGGGAGUCUGGAAUUCCUGGUGUAGCGGUGAAAUGCGCAGAUAUCAGGAGGAACACCGGUGGCGAAGGCGGGACUCUGGGCUGUAACUGACACUGAGGAGCGAAAGCAUGGGGAGCGAAACAGGAUUAGGAUACCCUGGUAGUCCAUGCCGUAAACGUUGGGCACUA
rnacentral:rRNA from 1 species